CACGUAGGGCGCAAGCGUUGUCCGGAAUUAUUGGGCGUAAAGAGCUCGUAGGCGGUCUGUUGCGUCUGCUGUGAAAACCCGCGGCUUAACCGUGGGCUUGCAGCCGAUACGGGCAGGCUAGAGUUCGGUAGGGGAGACUGGAAUUCCAGGUGUAGCGGUGAAAUGCGUAGAUAUCUGGAGGAACACCGGUGGCGAAGGCGGCAUCCUGGACCACGACUGACACUGAAAAGCGAAAGCCAGGGGAGCAAACGGG
rnacentral:rRNA from 1 species